rnacentral:rRNA from 1 species
UACGUAGGGGGCAAGCGUUGUCCGGAUUCAUUGGGCGUAAAGAGCGUGUAGGCGGCCAGGUAGGUCGGUUGUGAAAACUGGAGGCUCAACCUUCAGAGGUCGACCGAAACCAUCUGGCUAGAGUCCGGGAGAGGAGAGUGGAAUUCCUGGUGUAGCGGUGAAAUGCGCAGAUAUCAGGAAGAACACCCGUGGCGAAAGCGGCUCUCUGGGCCGUAACUGACGCUGAGGAGCGAAAGCAUGGGGAGCGAACAGG